rnacentral:rRNA from 1 species
GAUGAACGCUGGCGGCGUGCCUAAUACAUGCAAGUCGAGCGAACGGACGAGAAGCUUGCUUCUCUGAUGUUAGCGGCGGACGGGUGAGUAACACGUGGAUAACCUACCUAUAAGACUGGGAUAACUUCGGGAAACCGGAGCUAAUACCGGAUAAUAUUUUGAACCGCAUGGUUCAAAAGUGAAAGACGGUCUUGCUGUCACUUAUAGAUGGAUCCGCGCUGCAUUAGCUAGUUGGUAAGGUAACGGCUUACCAAGGCAACGAUGCAUAGCCGACCUGAGAGGGUGAUCGGCCACACUGGAACUGAGACACGGUCCAGACUCCUACGGGAGGCAGCAAUAGGGAAUCUUCCGCAAUGGGCGAAAGCCUGACAGAGCAACGCCGCGUGAGUGAUGAAGGUCUUCGGAUCGUAAAACUCUGUUAUUAGGGAAGAACAUAUGUGUAAGUAACUGUGCACAUCUUGACGGUACCUAAUCAGAAAGCCACGGCUAACUACGUG